rnacentral:misc_RNA from 1 species
GCAAACUUGGUCAUUUAGAGGAAGUAAAAGUCGUAACAAGGUUUCCGUAGGUGAACCUGCGGAAGGAUCAUUAUUGAAUAAUAAUGGAUAGGUUGUAGCUGGUCCUUUGGGACAUGUGCACACCUGUCUUUAUUCUAUUCAUCCACCUGUGCACCAAUUGUAGUCUAUUGAGGGCUGAGAACGUCUUAUUAUCAGUUGAAAGACUGGACAAGGGAAUUGCCAUGCAUGAAAGUAUGUAUUGCUUUUCUCCGGGAUGUAACCUCCCUUGAAGACUAUGUUUUUAUACACACACCAUAGCAUGUUGCAGAAUGUAUUGAAAUAGGUGUAUAUAGCCUAUAUAAAUCUUAACAACUUUCAGCAACGGAUCUCUUGGCUCUCGCAUCGAUGAAGAACGCAGC